GACUGUUGGUGGAGUGGACACUCUCGAAGAAGAGCCUUGAAGCAUUCCUAUGCAUCAUAAAGGUUUUCAUCAGGCUUUUAUUUGAAGCUCAUUAUCUCAUUGCGAAGUC
rfam:Capsicum annuum cultivar Zunla-1 chromosome 12, whole genome shotgun sequence